rnacentral:rRNA from 1 species
CUGUACAGUCAGAGUUUGAUCCUGGCUCAGGACGAACGCUGGCGGCGUGCUUAACACAUGCAAGUCGAACGGUGAACUUGGAGCUUGCUCCGGGGAUCAGUGGCGAACGGGUGAGUAACACGUGAGUAACCUGCCCCAGACUCUGGGAUAGCUUCGGGAAACCGAGGCUAAUACCGGAUAUGCGACGAGAAGGCAUCUUCAUCGUCGGGAAAGAAUUUCGGUCUGGGAUGGACUCGCGGCCUAUCAGCUAGUUGGUGGGGUAAUGGCCUACCAAGGCGACGACGGGUAGCCGGCCUGAGAGGGCGACCGGCCACACUGGAACUGAGACACGGUCCAG